rnacentral:lncRNA from 1 species
ACUCUGGUUUGAGUCUUCUUUCCUUUCUUAAUCCUCACUCUACAACUCAGGCAUGUUCGUGAUGUGACGGCUGGACCACCUCAAGUGGCGCCUGAACAGGGACCUGAGUAUCGAGGGAUCCAGUGAAGGACACUGCAGAGAAGAACGAGGCCUCAACAAAAAGGCAUGUUCGUGAUGUGACGGCUGGACCACCUCAAGUGGCGCCUGAACAGGGACCUGAGUAUCGAGGGAUCCAGUGAAGGACACUGCAGAGAAGAACGAGGCCUCAACAAAAAGGUAAGGAGUGGUGAAUUUUCCUG